rnacentral:rRNA from 1 species
UACGUAGGGUGCAAGCGUUGUCCGGAAUUAUUGGGCGUAAAGAGCGUGUAGGCGGCCCGGUCAGUCCGCCGUGAAAGUCCAGGGCUCAACCCUGGAAUGCCGGUGGAUACUGCCGGGCUGGAGUCCGGAAGAGGCGAGUGGAAUUCCUGGUGUAGCGGUGAAAUGCGCAGAUAUCAGGAGGAACACCGAUGGCGAAGGCAGCUCGCUGGGACGGUACUGACGCUGAGACGCGAAAGCGUGGGGAGCAAACAGG